rnacentral:tRNA from 2 species
GGGGUGCUAGCUCAUGAUGGCAGAGCGCCUGCCUUGCAAGCAGGAGGUGCGAGGGUUCGAGACCCCGGCACUCCA